CUCGCUCUCUUCGUCUUCGCGAGAACUCUCUCACUCACCUGGAUCUUUGUUCCGACUGAGCUGUCAAAACACUUUCCCAAAUUGUUAUAUAAAAUAAAAUCAACCAAAUUUGUUUGUAUAUUCAAUCUGUUUUCGUAUUUUUUAUUUAUUUAUUUGCCAUGAAUGUAACUGGGGUUUGAGCAGUAGAUAACGAGGGCUGUGGAUGGUUCGAAGUGAAAAAGGUGUAUUUUUUUUUUUUUUUUAUCUCGAUUGCCCCAUUUUCUUCCAUUACCAACAUUAACAUCCGGUAUGCAAAGAAAAGUUUAGGCAGCGGCUUUGGUGCUUUCUUUUUGAGAGCAUAGGAUGGAAGAAACACUUGAAGCUGCUACCUGCUAAAACCCUUUGAGGCCAAGCUCGAGAGGUUCCUCCAUUGGUUACAGGUUAAUGGACCGGAGCUACAUGGCUGCAAGAUCAAGUACUCUAAUUCCAGCAAAGGGCUUGGCAUUUUUUCGUCUAGUGAAGUUUCUGAUGAUGGGGUUCUAUUGGUUGUUCCUCUGGAUUUUGCAAGAACUCCUAUGAGAGUGUUGCAAGAUCCUCUUCUUGGACGGGAGUGUAGAGCAAUGUUUGAAGAAGGAGAUGUAGAUGAUAGGUUGUUGAUGUCUUUGUUUCUUAUAGUGGAGCAUGUCCGCAAGAAUUCUUCUUGGAAGCCGUAUCCUGAUAUGCUUCCAACUACUUUUGGCAAUCCACUUUGGUGUACAGAUGAUGAGCUUUUGGAGCUAGAAGGGACAACAUUGUGUCGAGCAACUGAAUUAAGAUCUUUGGGCAUCUGGCCAUGACAUUUAAACACUCACAUGUAGAUUGUGUACAUAUACGUGCCGUCUAAUCUUGAAAAAUCCAUGCUAUGAUGAUUUAUUAUGGUCCUUCUAAGAGGAUGAAGGGUAUAUAUAAUAAUAUGCACAAUACUUUUUGGAAAAAAUUUCAUAAGACAUGCCCAAAAGUGCUUUUAAUUUCUUAUGACAGGCCAGGCUCAUUUGGCUUGCCAACACACCGAAGCUUUGUUUGUUUUAUGUUACAAAGUAUCUAGAUUAUUAUUUGGUUCUGUCAAUUAUGGUUGAAGUAUUUAUCUUCUUAUUGUAGUAUAUUUUACCGAAGACAGGUUUAUCUUACAGAAGAAAACUUUGCUGUCUUUAUUUGAUGAUAAACUGAUGACUGGUGGAGAAACUGUUAACUCUGAAUAAGGAUUUAGAAAGCUGUGUCAGAAAUAGGAUUUUUCCUCUAUAAUUGUCAUAAGAGAAUGAAAUUCGUAGGUCUUAUCCAGUCAUUUUGAUCAUAUAAUUACCAUAUAUGUUCUUAUCCAGCUGGUGGACCAAUGCGGUUUCAUCAUUGAGUCAUCAUGUGACUCUACUACGCUCAUGCUGCUUCUUAUCUGAAUUGACAUUCUCUUUAAAUUUAAUGGUCCAAACUCUUGAUGUCUGGUAUUUGAUGGCAGCCUGUCCAAUGUUUUGUUUUUUGUUUUUUCUUACAGAUAGUCUGCCAUGUAAUCUUGAAAGAUGCUAUCUAAAAUUACAUGUGGAACAACAUUCAGAUCGAUAGACAUUAUAGAUAAUUAUAUGCAUUUUUAAUAUUACUGUGAUUAGUUACUGAUAAUAUCCCAUUGCAGACAGACGAACUUAAGUUGUUCUUAUUUGAACUACUGCUAUCUCUUUGCUCUCUGCUUUAACAAUGCAGUGGCUUAACCAUGCAGGGUCAAGUUAUUAUGACUAUUGGAUUUCUAAAAGAAGCCCCUCAUGUCAGUAUCCAUGGCUUCAAUGUUUAUCACAAAAAUCGUCUAAUACUGGUAUAUAUCUUUUCCUUGCUGAAUUUGACUGUCUGCUGUGGUGUUGGCUAUCAAAUAAUUUUUAGGCCAUUUAUUUUGUCCUUCACUGUACAUGUGAUUUCUGUAAAAUCACAAGGUUAUUCAUACAAACAAACAUGCACAGUGUAGGUUUUUUUGUAUCUUAUGGAAGUUAACAUUCUGCUGGCAGUGUUGGCUAUAAAUGUAAUUUUGAGGCAAUAUUUGCAAUUAAUUGUUCCAGGUUUUUUACUCCCACACGGACACACACAAUAUAGCUCACUAGUACUUAAGCUAAUUCAUUAUGCCCAAAUUUCUCUCUCUCUCAUUUUCCUCCUUUCAAAUUUUUUGUUGAGUCAUUUAUAUUGUCACAGUACGUGUAAUUACUGCUGGUGCAAGAAGAGAAUUUUCUGUGGCAAAAAAAUGCAAGCUUAAGACAGCACUGAGAAUUUUUGUCUGGUUUAGGGGGUUGGUUUGUUUUAGUAUACUGUUGUGCAAUGGAAUGGGGUGUGUUGUCGCAAAAAAUGGUGUGAAAUUGUAAGGAAUGCUAAAUUAGACUAUUGCUCAUAUUUCAACCUGAUAUGGCGUCUUUUGUAUGAUUUAAAGGCCUACAAGGCGUGUACUUUCUAUUGAAUAAUUUCGUGAUGCAUUUAUUUGCAUAACAUCUGUUGUAUUCAAAGUAACAAUGUUGUGCUUUAAAAAUUGUUUCCAUUUUCCCCUCCUUUUCAGCCAUAUUGGCAGGUCAUGAGCUAUUUAGACGGUAGGGUCGGGGGGCUGUUGGUAACACUCUUUACAAAAUUGUGGUUUCCCGAAAUUUCAAGCUCGCUGUGAGGGGCUUGAAUGAUAAGGUCAUGCAGAAGCUCGAAAGUGAGAAACAACAUGCACUAACCCAAAUGAAGAUGUUACCACACUUAGUUGUGAGUAGCCUCAAUGACAUGAGGGAUGUUUUGAAAGUAAAGAAAGUGAACGAGUGGGAGGGGAAUAAAAUUUCGGUGAAUUAUGACCCUAAUUCAGAUGAGUACGCUCAAAUAAGUAAAAUUGCUGUAGACAAUGAGCUGGAGGUAGUCCCAUUUGAUCAUGAGGUUGAGAUGGAUCGCAAUAGAAACGUUGGCAACGGCUAUGGACACCCUGAAUGGAAACGCUGAAGGGAAGACAAAAUAGUAGGAUAAUAAUAAUUAUUAUUAGGGUAUUAUUAUUAUUAUAAAUCAAUGGAAGACAAAAGAGUAGGAUAUUUUGUUAUAAAUCAAGGCGGGCGAAUACGCUGAUUUUGUAAUGAUUUUUACAUUUGGAACAUUAAUAUAUAAAUUUAAUGCAUAA